rnacentral:lncRNA from 1 species
ACCUACUAUGAUGCAUAUUUGAAAGAGUGCAUCUAUUAUUUCAGCUGAAAAUUGAUCUCUAUUUGAAGGAGUGCAUCUAUUGUGCAUCUACGCCAGAAGACAGUGUGCUGUUUUUUAUUCCAUGCUCCAAAUAUUUCAUGUCCGAUUCAUAGACAUCCUUGAAUUGCUUAACGAUGAUGGCAUGUUUGGUGUUCAUAUUUUUGUCAGCCAAAUAAUAAUAGGUGCACUUGAUUGUUUGAGAAAUGCCAACUGAAAGCUAAAUUCAGUUAGAAUUAGAUUUUUGCACGUGUGUUCUUGAUGCUUCAUGUACGACCAGUUCUCUCGAAUAAUGAGUUACUCCCUCAAUUUUACAAUAGAGAUAAUUUGUCAAAAUUGUGUUUUUGUGAACAUGCAUAGGGCCUCUCAGUCUUUAACCUUGACUAUAAAAAUCCAUUGAUGGAAGCUAGGGAGGGCCGAGAUGAACAUCCAGCUCCCUGGGUCUAAGCCAUCGAGAUGGUAGAGACGAUGUUUCCAUGUCAUCUACUCCAGCAGCCGGACAAGGCAUAUAAAAACCAUGGAUCCUUGCUCCCCAGGCGGAAAAAUGAUCACAGUGAUGUCUACGACCUCCUCCUAGAUGUAUUAAUCUCAAUCUCAUGUUUGGUUUUCUUCCCUUUUCUCUUCUAAUGAUGUAAUUUCU